rnacentral:lncRNA from 1 species
AAUAAUAAUAAGCUUAUUUUUUCAUUCUAAUCUUCAGUGUCACAUGCUCCUUCAGAAAUCAUUCUAAUAUGCUGAUUUGGUGCUCAAGAAACAUUACUUAUUAUUAUUAAAAAAAUAUAUGUGCUUAAUAUUUUUGUGGAAACCGGCGUAUUUUUUACAGCAAUCUUUGAUGAACAGAAAGUUCAAAAGAACGGCCUUUAUUAACUAGAUUUUUUUGUAACAUUCUAAAUCUCUUUACUGUCACUUCUUGAUUAAAUGUAUGUGCGUGUGUGAUGCCAUUAAGAUGGCUUCUUUUACAUGAAAUGCCAUUAAGAUCUAUAUCGUGGUGGGGACUUCUAUCACACUGAGCAAAUUAUAAUUCUCAUCUGCUAAAUCUGCUAUUUUAACAUUAUUCAUUUUUCACACUUAAUGUGCUAUUGUUUAUUAAGCUAGUUCAACUAUAUAUAUAUAUAUAUAUAUAUAUAUAUACAGUAUUGUUUUAUUUUUUUCUUUGUACCAGGCACUUUCAAAUUUGAUGAGAAACAUCCAGAUGUUGAGACACCAGCAGAGGAGGAAAAGAGUGAAGGAAAGGCAGAGAAAGUGAAGGAGAAGAACUACAAAAGAAAGAGAAGUAAAGAUGAUAGAAGUAGUGAGGAUAGUGAUGAUCUUGGUUCUUCCUCUGCUUCUACACCCAGUCAGAAGGAACCAGCGUCUCUUGUGAAGAAAGGAGACAAGCAGGAGAUUUGGAAGUGGCCUGUUUAUGAAACGCAUCUGCCUGUAACCUGUGGGGAUAAAGAAGGCACUCUCUAUCGGGUCAAAAUGCCCAGAGGGGAAAAGUGUAUUUUGUCUCAAGGACGCUGGUUCACCCUAAAUGAUUUUGAAAGGUUUGCGGGGAAGGAAAAGUGCAAAAACUGGAAACUCAGCAUCCGCUGCGGAAACACACCACUUAAGAAACUCAUUGAGGUAAAUAAUGCAAGCACUUACAGAUUGUUGGGAUUGUUGGGAUCUUUAUUUAAAAAAAAAAAAGUUUUUAGGAAAUUGUCUUUGGUUUUGCUGUAA